ACUGAGGUAUGUACACUAUUUUUUGUUGCUACAAUGAACACACCGUCAUUUUAUUUUAUGUCCACUCAUUAGCUCAGAUCUGGGUGACUGCAGUUUAUGUUAAUGCAUCGCCUUUUCGCCAUUUUCCCAACAUAUUGGAUUAGACCUCUUGGUUAGGUUCAUAUGUUCAGCAUAGGUUACUUCAGCUUUCUAUGAUAUAACCAUUUGUUUGAUGCAUUCUUUAUUUUUGUUUUUCUAGGUUCCGGUGCAUGCCAAGCUACGCCACGAGUAUCUCCAGCAGCCAGUGGGUCGUGCUUGUGCACGACAAGCCGCCGCUGCAGAGGAUGGUUUCACGGUGUUUCUAAUUCCUUCUUGAUUAAACAACAGUACUCAGUUCAACAUGAUCUUGAACAUUAGAAAUAUUUAACCUUUCAAUGUUGCCUCACUCCCUUGCAUAACAUCACCGAGACACAUCUUCUAUAUGAUAAGGCUAUAAAUUUUCGUAUAUGUUUCACUAUGUGCUCAAUAUAAAUUGGCUGACAGAACAAACAAUUUGUUUUGUACUUACAUAGAUAUAAGUUGGAAGUGGAGCAGAACCUUGACACGGUGCUUAGGUUCUAGAAUGAAUUUGUUUGUGGGGGCAGAAAGAUGUGUAGCCAGCUGUAAGAAGAUGAUCAUCAAGUCUGGGAAGUGGCAAAAGUAUGUGGUAUGUACUACAUGCAUGCAGAAAUAAAAUUCAUUGACUAUUUAAGCUUCUCUGAUUCGUUUGUUAUUUCUGAUGGAACAUAAAAAUACUUCAAAAAAUGACUAUAAUUUGCGCUGGACAUAAGGUUGUGAUGAAAAGGAACUUGCGGGUGACGGAUGCUAGGUGUUCUAUUUUUCUUACAAGAUCGGAGUUUAUUCUCUGUUGCAAUGUUGCUUUGAGGAGUAGAAUUAUUGGAGUGAAGUGUUCUGUUGAGUGGAUUGCUAAAAGAAGGGCAGUGAUUUGAGUCUACAAAAAAGGAGCCUGCUACUGUGGCUUAUCUGUAUAAGAUCAUACCGCACAAAGCAGUAAUAAUAAGUGGUUUAUAGGAUUUGUUUUCCUAAACUAUGAUCUAAUUUGUGGAACACGAUCUUUUUGCUCCAAGAUUACUGACCAGGCUAUGGCACCAAAAGAAGUCCGUCACCUCCCAGACUUGAUGAUCAUCUUCUUACAGCUGGCUCCAAGAUUACGAUCUUUUUGCUCCAAGAUUAAUUUGUGGAACACGAUCUUUUUGCUCCAGAAGGAAGUGGUACAGUUUGUAUGUCUUUUUUUUCUUCUUUUGACUUAGAAGAGGUUGGGUCGACAAUCUAUCAGUACGACAGUGUAUCUUGAUAUGGAACAACAAACCCAUGUUUCUUUUGUA